rnacentral:rRNA from 1 species
GGCCUUUUGAAUUUAAUUUAAGGUCUGACCUGCCCAGUGAUGAAUUUAACGGCCGCGGUAUAUUGACCGUGCAAAGGUAGCAUAAUCAUUAGUCUUUUAAUAGAGGGCUGGAAUGAAUGGUUUAACGAGGAACUAGCUGUCUCAUUUUAUUUGUUUUAGAAUUUAAUUUUUUAGUUAAAAAGCUAAAAUUUUAUUGGAAGACGAGAAGACCCUAUAGAUCUUUAUAUAAUUUUAUUUAUUUAUUUAUAUAUUAAUGUAAUUAUAUUUAAAUUGUAUUUUGUUGGGGUGACAAAAAUAUAUAAUUAACUUUUUCAUUUAUUUACCAUUUAUAUAUGAGUAUUAGAUCCAUUUUUAGUGAUUGUUAGAAUAAGUUACCUUAGGGAUAACAGCGUAAUCCUCCUCCAGAGUUCAUAUUUACAGGAGGGCUUGCGACCUCGAUGUUGGAUUAAGAUAAUAAUUAGGUGUAGCCGCUUAAUGUAUAGGUCUGUUCGACCUUUAAAUUCUU